rnacentral:rRNA from 1 species
GACACAAUCAACACCACCCUGAACACGCCCGAUCUUGUCUGAUCUCGGAAGCUAAGCAGGGUCGGGCCUGGUUAGUACUUGGAUGGGAGACCUCGUGGGAAUAGUGGGUGCUGUAGGCU